rnacentral:rRNA from 1 species
GAUACCCCACUAUGCCUAGCCGUAAACCUUGAAUUACACUCCCCUAAUCGCCAGGGAACUACGAGCAAAGCUUAAAACCCAAGGGACUUGACGGUGCCCCAUAUCCCCCUAGAGGAGCCUGUCCUUUAAUCGAUAAUCCCCGCUUAACCUCACCAUUUUUAGCUACAUCAGUCUGUAUACCUCCGUCGUCAGCUUACCACAUGAGCGAUAAGCAGUAAGCUUAAUGUCCACAACCCUACGUCAACACGUCAGGUCAAGGUGCAACUUAUAAAAUGGAAAGCGAUGGGCUACACUCUCUAAUAUAGAGAACACGAAAAACUAAUUAUGAAAACUAGUUGAAAGGCGGAUUUAGUAGUAAAAAGAGAAUAGAGAGCUCUUUUUAACCCGGCACUGGGGUGUGUACACACCGCCCGUCACCCUCUUCGCAGCCCUAUUACAGUUUUUAACAAACCUACGCAUCAUAGAAGAGGCAAGUCGUAACACGGUAAGUAUACCGGAAGGUGUGCUUGGAAAC